GGAGACACCGGUAAUGUGUGGGGUUACAAAUAGAGGGAUAGAGCUAGCUACUGUGCAGCGUCCCUAUCUACAGCUAUAUGGAGGAAAAGUUCCACUGGAGAUUGCAGGAGCUCCUGUCUCUGCAGGAUGGGCCUAUAUCAGAGGAGGCCAUGAUGGACUACCGGGAGGCGGCCAGAAAGGAACUUUGGGAUGAAGCCCUGGUGGGAGCCCUCACCCAAUUGUCUCUGCCACCCCCCAAAUCCUUAAUGUGUCUCUCCCACCCUUCACCUAUAUGUCU